GUCGAUAUUAUCAUGUUGUUGCUACACUUGCUACAUCAGAAGAAAGCUUCGCAAGAUGCUUAACAUCACGGAAUUCUAGCAGACAUCAAGUUUCUUAUCUCCACCAAAUGUUCAUCAUCCGAUAUGUGCAGUGAAAGACGGAGUUCUGUCACCUCCAUCUCAUCUUCCCAACUCAAAGGACCCGAUGCAAACAACGCCUUCAGAGCAUUACAAUAGGCACGUAGCUCUAACUUAUGGUCUCGUGCCACCAAUUCCUUAUUUUUCACGAGGUCACUUCCUUCUUUCUCGUACCAUCGUCCAUGAAAGGGUUCAGCAUCACUACGAAAACUGUCAGUGUCUUCAUUCUCAUGUUUUACAGAAUUCCCACCAAUAGGCGAUGCUUUCUCGAGUGUCCUGGUGGAAUUUUGGGGCUCCUGAAUUUCCAUUUUUUUUGCAGCAUGAAAAUGAUCUUUGCCCACAAAUAGCUUUGUAUUUGUGUCUUUCUGGUUUUUCUUCAUUGACAUUGCAAAUUGUGCAUCACCCUAUAGUAUAAACACAGUAAACGAUAUAUAA